AGAGUUUGAUCAUGGCUCAGGAUGAACGCUGGCGGCGUGCCUAAUACAUGAAGUCGAGCGAGAAUCAGUGAUGUAGAGAUUCGUCAAAGCGGAUCUGAGGAAAGCGGCGGCGGGUGAGUAACGCGUAGGCAACCUGCCCUUAGCAGAGGGAUAGCCAUUGGAAACGAUGAUAAAACCUCAUAAUGCUGUUUUAACACAUGUUGAGACAGCCAAAGAUUUAUCGGCUAAGGUGGGCCUGCGUCUGAUUAACUAGUUGGUGAGGUAACGGCUCACCAAGGUGACGAUCAGUACCGACCUGAGAGGGUGAUCGGCCACAUUGGAACUGAGACACGGUCCAAACUUCUACGGAAGCAGCAGUAAGGAAUCUUGCACAAUGGGGGAAACCCUGAUGCAGCAACGCCGCGUGAACGUGAAGGCCUUAGGGUUGUAAAGUUCUGAUCUGUGGGAAGAAGAAGUGACGGUACCACAGGGAAAGUCCCGGCUAAAUACGUGCCAGCAGCCGCGGUAAUACGUAUGGGGCAAGCGUUAUCGGAAUUAUUGGGCGUAAAGAGUGCGUAGGUGGUUACCUAAGCGCAAGGUUUAAUCUUGAGCUCAACCUCAUUCUGCCUUGCGAACUGGGCUACUUGAGUGCAGGAGGGGAAAGCGGAAUUCCAGUGUAGCGGUGAAAUGCGUAGAUAUUGGGAAGAACACCGGUGGCGAAGGCGGCUUUCGGACUGUAACUGACACUGAGCACGAAAGCGUGGGGAGCAAACAGGAUUAGAUACCCUGGUGUCCACGCCGUAAACGAUGAGCACUAGUUGUUGGGUACGAAUGUAUU
rnacentral:rRNA from 1 species